rnacentral:rRNA from 1 species
AACAGCUCAAAUUUGAAAUCUGGCCCCCGCGGUCCGAGUUGUAAUUUGUAGAGGGCGCCUCGGGUGCGGCCCCGGUCUAAGUUCCUUGGAACAGGACGUCAUAGAGGGUGAGAAUCCCGUACGUGACCGGCGGCCAACCCCAUGCGAGGUCCCUUCGACGAGUCGAGUUGUUUGGGAAUGCAGCUCAAAAUGGGUGGUAAAUUUCAUCUAAAGCUAAAUACCGGCCAGAGACCGAUAGCGCACAAGUAGAGUGAUCGAAAGAUGAAAAGCACUUUGGAAAGAGAGUUAAAAAGUAUGUGAAAUUGUUGAAAGGGAAGCGCUUGCAACCAGACUUGCCCGCGGGAGAUCAGCCGCCCCCUGGGGCGGUGCACUCCCCCGCGGUCAGGCCAGCAUCGGUUUCGGCGGCCGGAUAAAGUCCCCGGGAAUGUAGCUCCCCUCGGGGAGUGUUAUAGCCCGGGGUGCAAUGCGGCCUGCCGGGACCGAGGACCGCGCUCUCGCUAGGAUGCUGGCGUAAUGGUUGCCAGCGACCCGUCUUGAAACACGGACCAAGGAGUCGACCAAUCGUGCGAGUGUUUGGGUGUCAAACCCGUGCGCGCAAUGAAAGUGAACGGAGGUGGGAACCCCUUCGCGGGGGCGCACCAUCGACCGAUCCUGAUGUCUUCGGAUGGAUUUGAGUACGAGCACGGCUGGUCGGACCCGAAAGAUGGUGAACUAUGCAUGAAUAGGGUGAAGCCAGAGGAAACUCUGGUGGAGGCUCGCAGCGGUUCUGACGUGCAAAUCGAUCGUCAAAUUUGUGCAUAGGGGCGAAAGACUAAUCGAACCAUCUAGUAGCUGGUUCCUGCCGAAGUUUCCCUCAGGAUAGCAGUAACGUUUUCAGUUUUAUGAGGUAAAGCGAAUGAUUAGAGGCCUGGGGAAAGUAACUUUCUUCACCUAUUCUCAAACUUUAAAUAUGUAAGAAGUCCUUGUUACUUAAUUGAACGUGGACACACGAAUGCACCGUUACUAGUGGGCCAUUUUUGGUAAGCAGAACUGGCGAUGGGAGAUGAAUCCAACGGGGAGUUAAAGUGCCGGAAUGCACGCUCAUCAGACACCACAAAAGGUGUCGGUGCAUCUGGACAGCCGGACGGUGGCCAUGGAAGUCGGAAUCCGCUAAGGAGUGUGUAACAACUCACCGGCCGAAUGCACCGGCCCUGAAAAUGGAUGGCGCUCAAGCGUGCUACUUAUACUCCCCCGUCG